rfam:Camponotus floridanus CamFlo_1.0_3.contig2794, whole genome shotgun sequence.
GUCUAGAUAGCUCAGUGAUCUAGAGCAGUUGUCCGGAAAGCGAAAGACUCGGGUUCGAUUCCCGAUCCAGCCC